rnacentral:tRNA from 1 species
GCCAGCGUAGCUUAGUGGUAAAGCACUCCCAUGGUAAGGGAAAGAGCGUCGGUCCGAUUCCGACCGCUGGCUCCA